GUUUUGAGGUAACUCUUCUACUAGACAACAUUUUAAAGUAGUAACUAUUUUUCUCAUUGCUAUUAACCAAGCCACACAUUAAUGCCGAGCUUCUGUUAAGUAAAAAAUAACUAGGGAUACCAGACUGAGUUUUUCAGCCCAGUCAGAAGAAAAGCAAUUUGACAUACUGUUACCCUUUGCAGUCUUAGCAAGAGAAAGACAAUGCGCUUGUUUAUUGUCUAAAUUAGCACUUUGCCCCUGAUACUCCUCAAAGCUGAAAGACCCUCUAAGAUCAAGAACUGAUGAAGGCUAUAGAAAAAUGUGCUGCUCAAAAGGAGAUUUCCAUCUCGAAAAGGCAAAUUACUGGGAAAAAUGAAUCUGUUUUCUCUGCCAAGCAUUGGAGACAUAGAAGGAGACUGCCUCCUGCUGGGGUCAGUAUUUUCUGCAUCCCAUGAACGGAAGUGAGAACAGCCUUGGGAGCUAAUGCCGAAGGUGGGAGAAUCUGAUGCCCUCAGUCUCCAGUGAACUAAAGCUGAAGAAGACUCAGAUUUCUGACACAAUGGUAACACCUAUCCCUUCUGCCUGUGACUGCCAGGGCUUGCUGUAUGAUGAUAAGAAGAGAAUGUGACACAGAGGAAGGGGAAAAAGUCCAUCCCUCUGCCGCCUCCCUGCUUCAAGUUGUCCUGCCUUUCCCGACG
rnacentral:lncRNA from 1 species